rnacentral:misc_RNA from 1 species
GAUGAAGAACGUAGCAAAAUGCGAUAAGUAAUGUGAAUUGCAGAAUUCAGUGAAUCAUCGAAUCUUUGAACGCACAUUGCGCCCGCCAGUAUUCUGGCGGGCAUGCCUGUUCGAGCGUCAUUUCAACCCUCAAGCACAGCUUGGUGUUGGGACUCGCGUUAAUUCGCGUUCCCCAAAUUGAUUGGCGGUCACGUCGAGCUUCCAUAGCGUAGUAGUAAAACCCUCGUUACUGGUAAUCGUCGCGGCCACGCCGUUAAACCCCAACUUCUGAAUGUUGACCUCGGAUCAGGUAGGAAUACCCGCUGAACUUAAGCAUAUCAAUCGGAGGA